UACGUAGGUGGCAAGCGUUGUCCGGAAUUAUUGGGCGUAAAGCGCGCGCAGGCGGUUUUUUAAGUCUGAUGUGAAAGCCCACGGCUCGACCGUGGAGGGUCAUUGGAAACUGGAGAACUUGAGUACAGAAGAGGAAAGCGGGAUUCCACGUGUAGCGGUGAAAUGCGUAGAGGUGUGGAGGAACACCAGUGGCGAAGGCGGCUUUCUGGUCUGUAACUGACGCUGAGGCGCGAAAGCGUGGGGAGCAAACAGG
rnacentral:rRNA from 1 species